rnacentral:lncRNA from 1 species
UAGUGCGCAUGCUUGAGCCCACUUACCUAACACCUGAGAUCUUAUUGGGACGCUGCUGAUAACCAGUUUCAGAGACAGGGUUUCACCAUGUUGUACAGGCUAGUCUCCAACCCCUGGGCUUAAGCAAUCCUUCUGCCUCGGCCUCCCAAAGUGCUGGGAUUACAGAGAUGCUCAAGCACUGAAUUGUCUUAAGAAAACAAGUAAGGUUUUGUCACCUAUCCUAUUUCUCACUGCAAGUUGAAAAAAAUCAAAUCCAAACACCACCACCCCUUCUAUGACAACAAACGGCUGUGGAGGUAAUCUUAUUUUCCUAAGGGUAGUUUCAUGAUGACAGUGUCAAAAAAUUACUGUGGAUAAAGAAAAAAUUGUCUCAAUGAAAUAGAAUUUUUCACUGAACACAGAAACCAUCUCAAUAGUUGCUGCUCCCUGGUUUCCAGGCCACGCAACAGACAUCAAACCAGGAAGCCAAACUUUCAUGGACCUGUGUUAAGAAAAACACACAUACAUGGGCAUACUACUUUUUCCAGAAAAACGGA